GGCGGCGUGCUUAACACAUGCAAGUCGAACGAAGCACUCUAUUUGAUUUUCUUCGGAAAUGAAGAUUUUGUGACUGAGUGGCGGACGGGUGAGUAACGCGUGGGUAACCUGCCUCAUACAGGGGGAUAACAGUUGGAAACGACUGCUAAUACCGCAUAAGCGCACAGGAUUGCAUGAUCCGGUGUGAAAAACUCCGGUGGUAUGGGAUGGACCCGCGUCUGAUUAGCCAGUUGGCAGGGUAACGGCCUACCAAAGCGACGAUCAGUAGCCGACCUGAGAGGGUGACCGGCCACAUUGGGACUGAGACACGGCCCAAACUCCUACGGGAGGCAGCAGUGGGGAAUAUUGCACAAUGGGGGAAACCCUGAUGCAGCGACGCCGCGUGAGCGAAGAAGUAUUUCGGUAUGUAAAGCCCUAUCAGCAGGGAAGAAGAAUGACGGUACCUGACUAAGAAGCACCGGCUAAAUACGUGCCAGCAGCCGCGGUAAUACGUAUGGUGCAAGCGUUAUCCGGAUUUACUGGGUGUAAAGGGAGCGCAGGCGGUGCGGCAAGUCUGAUGUGAAAGCCCGGGGCUCAACCCCGGUACUGCAUUGGAAACUGUCGUACUAGAGUGUCGGAGGGGUAAGUGGAAUUCCUAGUGUAGCGGUGAAAUGCGUAGAUAUUAGGAGGAACACCAGUGGCGAAGGC
rnacentral:rRNA from 1 species